UGGGGAAUAUUGGACAAUGGGCGAAAGCCUGAUCCAGCCAUGCCGCGUGUGUGAAGAAGGUCUUCGGAUUGUAAAGCACUUUAAGUUGGGAGGAAGGGCAGUAAAUUAAUACUUUGCUGUUUUGACGUUACCGACAGAAUAAGCACCGGCUAACUCUGUGCCAGCAGCCGCGGUAAUACAGAGGGUGCAAGCGUUAAUCGGAAUUACUGGGCGUAAAGCGCGCGUAGGUGGUUCGUUAAGUUGGAUGUGAAAUCCCCGGGCUCAACCUGGGAACUGCAUUCAAAACUGACGAGCUAGAGUAUGGUAGAGGGUGGUGGAAUUUCCUGUGUAGCGGUGAAAUGCGUAGAUAUAGGAAGGAACACCAGUGGCGAAGGCGACCACCUGGACUGAUACUGACACUGAGGUGCGAAAGCGUGGGGAGCAAAACAGGAUUAGAUACCCUGGUAGUCCACGCCGUAAACGAUGUCAACUAGCCGUUGGAAGCCUUGAGCUCUUAGUGGCGCAGCUAACGCAUUAAGUUGACCGCCUGGGGAGUACGGCCGCAAGGUUAAAAC
rnacentral:rRNA from 1 species